CCAGCCGACCUGCGGAGAUCUAAAACCUAACCAGACAAACAGUUAAACGCUGUCGCUUCCUUCUUCUCCUCCCUCUUCUUUCUUCAACAACAGACCCUCUCCACGCGAUUCAAAAUCCAAAAUUUUUUCCAUAGAAAAUCAAAUUUCUCAGCAACCAAACACCCUCAGAGAAAACCCAGUUCCCCAAAAUGUCCUGCAAAGCUUGUGGGCUCAGAACCCUUAUCAGGGACGAUGCAACAGAGAACAUGAUAUGUGAUUCAUGUGGUACAGUCCAGGAUUUCGCCAACUAUCAAGAACGUACCUUUAACAUUAAUGGGCCAACAGGUGUGUUUAUAAGUAUAGGCUCUUCAGGUUGUGGUAGUGUUUUGAAUUAUAGAGAGAAGAAGAUUUAUGAAGCAAAUAAUUUAAUAGAUGAUAUUGUUUUUAAGGUAGGGUUAACUGGUGGUUCAAAAGUUAGUGAAAUUAGAGAUAUGAUUAGUAAAGUUACUGAUGGGGAGUUUGGUUCAAGUGAGAGUAGAUGGUUUAGUAUUUUUGUUGGUGCUUGUGUUUAUGUUGUAAUGAGGAAUGGUGAUAAAAGUUUGAGCAUUGAGGAGGUGAGUAGUGUUGUUGGGUGUGAUAUUCAUGAAUUGGGGAGGAUGGUCGUGAGGGUUGUUGAGCAUUUGGGGAUGAAGUUGCCAGGUUUUGAUAUAGUGGGCAGUUUUGAGAGGGUGGUUAGGAGUUUGUCGAUUUUGGACAGGGUUGAGGGGGAUGUGUUGGAGAGGAUGAGGAAACAAGGUAUUUUUUUAGUGCAAUGUGCUGUGAAGUGGUUUUUGACUACAGGGAGGAGGCCGUUGCCGGUUGUUGUGGCUGUUUUGGUUUUGGUUGCUGAGUUGAAUGGGGUGGAGGGGGUUAAGAUUGAGGAGGUUGCCAGAGAGGUUCAUGUUGCGGUGUCUACUUGUAGGUUGAGAUACAAGGAAUUGUUGGAGGUGAUUGCUAAGGUAGCGCAAGAGAUUUUGCCAUGGGGGAAGGAUGUAAAUGUGAAGAAUGCAGUGAAGAAUGCGCCAUUUGUGAUUCGAUAUUUGGAGAUGAAAUGUAUGUCGAAGAGUGGUGGGGGAAAAAAGGGUUUGGAGAGUACUGAGUUUGAUUUGGGAGAAGUGGUUGGUGCGUAUUUUAGUAAGAAUGUUGUGGAGGAUAGUUUGGAAUGUGAGGAUUUGCGGUAUUUUGAGUUGGAAGAUGCUAUUGGGUUUGAUAAGACUGGCAUUGAUGAGGUGGAUAAGCUUCAGCUUUCACAUGAAUGCUUAUCCAUGGUUUAUGACAAGUUCCUUAUGGAUGGUGGUUGUGGUAGAUAUAUGGAAGAAAGUGGAAAGGUUCUUGGGAGGAAAAGGGAGAGAGAGCUUGAGAUUCAGGCAACAGAAUGGUGGAAUGGAAAAUCAGAGUUGAGCAAGAAGCUUUUGCUAAAACAGUUAUUGGAGAAAGAUAUAGGAUUUAGUGUUAUGCCUCCAUCUUUUGUCAAUGGUUGUACAACAAUUAAGAAGAGGAGAGCAAAGAUAAAUGCUGCAAAGCUGCGGAUUGAUAGGAUUAUGAAUCCAUGGAAUACUGAUUCAGGUAGUGGUAAAGUUUGCACUGUUGAAGGUGCACAUGAUCGGAAGAGGAAAAGAAAAUCACUGGUAAAAGAUAUUGAUUGGGAGGAUUUUGUCAUUGAGACCCUCCUUCUUCAUCAGGUGAAAGAGGAGGAAAUUGAGAAAGGGUAUUACAACACCUUGAUGGACGUGCAUGUUUUCAAUUCUGGUACUAUGUGAGAGCUUACAGCACAGGAACCAAAAAGCAAUCCAUGGUGAGAGAAUUGCAAAAUUAAGGAAAUAAAAUGCAACAAAAGGAAGCGCUAUAUUUAGGACAUAGAGCUUGAGGAACUCUUGCAGGCAGCUAGUGAAACUACAAAACUCUUAACGUGCAUUACUGACCAGCAGCAAAUGCCUCGACUGGGAAUGUUUUGGUGAUGCCAGCAAGACUCUUGAAGUGAAUUUUGCCAGUUGGUGGGUCAUCAAUGGUUAUCUCAUUUACUGGUGGCCAUAGCAUGAAUUCCUUAGCUUUCACUCCCUUGAGUUUCCUUAUCUGCUUUUUGCUGACAUGACCAUUUAUAUCAGUGUCAUAGCUCACAAUCUUGCUGGCUAUCUUGAAGUUGUGUUCAACCUUCUUCUUUUGGACGAUCCACAUGUAUCCAAUACUCCUAACAAAACCAACUUCUAUCACGUCUGCAAGAGGGAGAAGUCCCAGGGGAAGUCCAAACUCCUCAAGAAGAGAGAUUGCCAUUUUAAGCCCUUCCUGAUGACCCUUUGCGACAACUCCUCCUUCCUUCUCAGCCAUGGAUGAUGGUCUCUCUUUGGUUAGAAUUCACUUUUGAGGCCAAUUUGUUUGAAUGGAGUUCCUUUGAAGGAGUACUUCUAUUUAAACCCAGUGCUCACAUGCAUAAGACAAACUUAAUGGAGAAACCAAAGUGACUUGCAUUGAAUUAACCACCACCAGAAUUGGUUUUCACUUAAAAAAUUGGCUGUUAUCUUUAUUGCUUAAAUGUUUCUCCGCAUUUAUUUUGUAAUGUUUAUUAUCUGUAACUUGUCCAAUCUUGAACGGGAAAAUUAUUCUCCUAUGCAAUCUCAAUAAUGUUGUCUUUCCGCCCUGAACAAAGGUUUGUCAAUUGCACUUCACUGUACUUCCUCCUACAAAAGCUUUAUGUAAAAAGAUGGCUGAAUUGCUUACAUUUUACAUUUCUGUGUCCAUUUUCAUGUCAAGCACAAGGGAUCCACUCAACUAUUCUUAAAAUUAAAAUUCUCUGGGUCAAGAAUAUACUCGAGUAGAACCAAGAAGUCAGCCACUGUUCACAUUCACUCGUCAACUGGGAAAGAAAACCUGUGGCAGGCCAAGGCCACAGUGGCACGAUGGCAUGCAGAUCCAAUGUUGAGCUUCAUCUGUGGUUGUUACUGUUGGAUUGUUCGAUUGUAAGAAUCAUAUACUACAAAGAAACUCGUCGCCUCUUUGUACAUUGUUUCCUUUUGUACAUGUGUUAAUACAAGAGAAAAGUUCCUUAGCCA